UUACAGGCUGCUUCAAGCUCACUUCACUUCCAGAAGAGAUGAUUGGCAAAUUAUUUUCCAUGUGAUACUGAAUAAGAUGACCCACACUAUCAAAUAUAUGGUCUUUGGUUCUCACCUAGUGGAAGAAGCAAAAGAAUAUAUUUCAGAAACCAUUAGAUUGUCCUUUCUUUGAAUUGGAAAUAACACAAGAAACUGAAGUAUCCCCUGCAGACAAUGUAAUGGAUCGCUUCAGAGCCGUGCAGAUGUCACAUCUGGACUCCAACCUCAUGGAACUGCCCAGUUAUGCAUCUAAUGUUCAGUAUAUAUACAGUAUAACUCCUAGAUCCCCAAGUUGGAGGGCUUCUGAAUGGACUGAGGCUCACUGAUGGGCAACAGGAAAGUUAGCUGUAUGUAUCUAUUAAACUGAGUUACUAUUCCAUGUUUCCUUUUC